UUAUUAUUAUUAUUAUUAUUAUUAUUUGGAAUGGAAAAAACAUAGCACUAUUCAGAGUUGGAAUUAAAGAAAAUGGUUGGAAUUACUAACAUAACUUUCCCCCCUGAUCUUCUAUUAUUGUUACAGGCUUUUAAUGCUUUUGGGGAGUCCUGUGGAUCCGUGAUUUUGGAUGCAGAGAUGAAUAUUAUCUAGCUUUUAUUUCUUGGUCCUUGUUGAAAACCACCUAGAUUUGUGUUCAUGUAAAGUGUUUUUAGACUUGGUGGCAAAAAUUGUGGGUUACUAAGAUGUGGCAAGAGUUUUAGAUUGAAAUGGAUCAACUAUUGGAGAGCUUAUCUCAAAAGAGGAAACAUCUCUAUUGAAGAGGAAACCAUCAUCACUGAGUUGCAUGCUUCUUUUGGCAACAGCGUGAGAUGAAUGAGAACAAAGAAGACCCGUCACAAAUUGAUGUGUUUGUUGCAACUCGAACUGGAUGAAAAGGAAAAGAGCUUGAUUCAGGAACACAAGCUGUUAUUAUUUAGCAUAUGAGACAAGUCAAGCAUGGAUAUAAAAUAUGCAAGUAGAUUGACAUCU